GGACCGGUGGCCGAAGGGUGAGGCGACGGACUCUUAACCCGUCUGAUGUGGGUUCGAAUCCCACCCGGUCCU
rnacentral:tRNA from 1 species